ACAGGUUGAGCAAUCAGUAUUAGGGUUCAGAGUCAUGGAGGAAAGAAAGAGGUGGAGAGAAAGCUUACUUUGGAACAGUGGUUUUCAACUUUGGCUGCAUACUGAAAUAACCUGGGCAGCUCUAAAAAGUACUGAUGUCUAGGUCUCACCCUCAGAGACUCUUAAUUUAAUUGCCUUGGUAUGUUGCUAGUGAAUUGAGUUUCAAAAGCUCUCCAGCUGAUAUUAAUGUGCAGCUAAGAUUGAAAACCUCUGCUCUAGAGUUUAAAAAGGCCAAUAUUGUUUUAGGAAAACAGGUGAAGAAUAUUAGUUAGAAUUCUUCAACUUCUCAGGGUCCAAAGUAUACUUGAGUGAAGAAGUGAAAACUUGUAGAGAAGAAAACAGGUUAGGACAAGAAGUUACUUAGACUUGGGCCAGCAGGUGAUAUCAUUUUUACAAGGUGAAGAUGAGAAGAAAGAAGAAUGAAAUAGUUAAAAGAAGCAUAAACUGGACCUGAAGGCAGAAUCAUAAUUCAAAGUUCAGGUAGCUGAUCUAGGAAUGCAGCCUGAAGAAAUCAGCACCUCCUAGAUACAGAAUGAACAGAAGGGCUCAGAAGAAAUAUGAGGACAAAUAGGUAUGCUAGACUGAGGCAGAAGAGGCUUGAAUAUUGACUUCAUCUUUUAAGAUAACUCCCCAGGGUCUUACUUUUUCUUCAUCAAUACCGUAACUUCCAUAUAAAAGGAAGUGGUGAAGCUAUAACUUCCGUGGACGUAAUUCAACAAAUUACUGCUGGAUGCAGUGGCUCACCCAUUUUGGGAGGCCAAGGCAGGAGGAUCACUUGAGUCUAGGAGUUUGAUACCAGCCCAGGCAACAUAGCAAGACUCCAUCUCUAAAAAAAAAAAAAAAUUAGCUGGACAUGGUGGCAUGCACCUGUAGUCUCAGUUACUUAGGAGGCUGGGGUGAGAGGAUCACUUGAGCCUGGGUGGUUGAGUCUGCAGUGAGCCAUGAUCAUGCCACUGCACUCCAACCUGGACAACAUAGUGAGACGCUGUCUUAAAAAAAAAAGAUAAAAAACCCACACAAAUUACUUGCCCACCCCCAAAGUUUGGGCUUUUUGCCACCUCUGCCCUGAAGUUUAACAGUGAAGCAAUUCUUUAGUACAUUCACAGAAAGCCUCUGGGUAUCAGUUUGUUCUUUUAGCCCAACAUUUGAGGAUAUGAGCUUAUCAUGUCCUCUCUUAUCUACUUAAUGCCACUGAAAAAAGCACCACACCAGGUCUUCAUGUUUUCAUACUUUCUUUGUUGCAGUGUGGCCUUCUGCAUCUUGCCUUCAAUGCUGUGGCCCCUCCUUAGGACCAAUUUUUGUUUUUCAGGUUUUCUAGUCACAAGCAAUAAAACUAAACCAAAUUUAAGCUGAAAAUGAGUUGAUUGGAAGAGAAAUUAUAGAAGCAAUAGAAGUGCUGACGAAUUAAGCUUAGAAAUGGCAAGAGGUAAGGCCACUUGCAGUGGUAAACAGCCUAGAUCAUGCCUUAGAACAGCCUGAGUACUGCUUGAGGCUUCCCAGUCUCUGUUUGCUUAUUGGAGGUGACAUGGUUUUGGUCUAGGCCUCCAACAUAGAUUCCAGCCUGGAAGAGCGCCUUCACCAGAAACCGACCAUGCUGGCACCCUGAUAUGAGACAUCUGGCCUUCAGAUCUUUGGGAAAUAAAUUUCUGUUGUUUAUAAGC
rnacentral:lncRNA from 10 species